AACAGCUAUAAUUUAGCGUACCUUUUGCAUUAUGGGUUAGCUACUCAAUAGACGUGAGUUAAGCAGAAAGCUUACUGAGAUUUUUUUAU
rnacentral:rRNA from 1 species